GGCAGCACUCAAUGUCCCCUUGAUGACCUUGUCAAGAUUCACCAUCUUGUGAAUGUUGCCUUUUAAUCCAGGUCCCAAAUUUGGAUGCCUAAAUUUGAAAUUCAGCUUGAAUAAAGGUACUAAUUUUGGGGGGCCCUUUAGCUUGAAUAUAGAUGGUAUAGCUACUAACUAUGUAAUUAACAUUGUCAAUAUUUCUAUUUUUACAUACAGGUUAUUUUACAACACCUAUGCCACAUUACUUGACCAGGUCGAAACACACCAAACAGUCCAAACCCACUACUGCCAUGGCAAGCUCUAGCAAGU